CUCCUCUUUUCUUCUUGAAAAUCUAUUUACACCCUAUGGGUUUUAUCCCUUCGGGUGGAUCAACUAGUGUCCAUACACCAUUGAUCUCUGUGGACUCCAUCUCAAAUUUUAUGAUCUCAAGCCAUUUCUGAAAGUCAGACUUUUGUAUGGCCUCCAUAUAGGUGAUCGAAUCCUCAUCAAGUUCAAUGGGGUCACCGUCUCGGAUUAGAAAACUAUAGUAUCUGUUCGACUGGUGCGGU
rnacentral:lncRNA from 1 species